rnacentral:rRNA from 1 species
AUCGAUGAAGAACGCAGCGAAAUGCGAUAAGUAAUGUGAAUUGCAGAAUUCAGUGAAUCAUCGAAUCUUUGAACGCACAUUGCGCCCAUUAGUAUUCUAUUGGGCAUGCCUGUUCGAGCGUCAUUUCAACCCUUAAGCUCAGCUUAGUAUUGGGAAUCUACCGCGAGCGGUGCUACCUUGUAGCUACCCUGUAGUUCCUUAAAACCAACGGCGGAGUUAUAGUUACCUCUGAGCGCAGUAAUUUUUAUCACGCUUGGGAAGUGCUAUAGUUCUUGCCGAUAAACCCCCCAAUUUUUAAUGGUUGACCUCGGAUCAGGUAGGAAUACCCGCUGAACUUAAGCAUAUCAAUAAGCGGAGGAAAAGAAACCAACAGGGAUUGCCCUAGUAACGGCGAGUGAAGCGGCAACAGCUCAAAUUUGAAAUCUGGCCUUUGGUCCGAGUUGUAAUUUGUAGAGGAUGAUUUUGGUGCGGUACUUUCCGAGUUCCCUGGAACGGGACGCCUUAGAGGGUGAGAGCCCCGUACGGUUGGAUACCUAGCCUCUGUAAAUCUCCUUCGACGAGUCGAGUAGUUUGGGAAUGCUGCUCUAAAUGGGAGGUAAAUUUCUUCUAAAGCUAAAUACUAGCCAGAGACCGAUAGCGCACAAGUAGAGUGAUCGAAAGAUGAAAAGCACUUUGAAAAGAGGGUUAAAAAGCACGUGAAAUUGUUGAAAGGGAAGCGUUUAUGACCAGACUUUUUCUAGGCGGAUCAUCCGGUGUUCUCACCGGUGCACUUCGCCUAGUUUAGGCCAGCAUCGGUUCUUAUAGGGAGAUAAAAGCUUCAGGAAUGUGGCUCCUCCGGGAGUGUUAUAGCCUGUUGUAUAAUAUCCUUACGGGGACCGAGGUACGCGCUCUGCAAGGAUGCUGGCAUAAUGGUCAUCAACGACCCGUCUUGAAACACGG